rnacentral:siRNA from 1 species
ACUAAAUCGACACUCGAUGGCUAC